UAAAUGAAUGAGGAGGCAGCUUUAUGAGAUUCGUCUCUUCAUAUAAGAACAUCGAGGUAUAUCAAAAUCAAAGGCCGAGAUAUCGUUUCAGCCGUCAUUUUUUCCUCCAUUGACGUUCUGCUUGUUCUUCGUCCACAC